UUCGCAAUGCCCGAAAGGGUGACGAAGCGACGCCGCGUGGGUGAGGAAGGCCUUCGGGUUGUAAAGCCCUGUCAGGAGUUAAGAAAUGUAAGUGCGCUAAUAUCGCAUUUAUUUGACGAAGGCUCCAAAGGAAGCCACGGCUAACUCUGUGCCAGCAGCCGCGGUAAUACAGAGGUGGCAAGCGUUGUUCGGAAUUAUUGGGCGUAAAGAGCACGUAGGUGGGUUUGUAAGUCAGAUGUGAAAGCCUUCUGUUCAACGGAAGAAUUGCAUCUGAAACUGCGAGUCUUGAGUGUAGGAGGGGAGAAUGGAACUUCUGGUGGAGCGGUGAAAUGCGUAGAUAUCAGAAGGAACGCCGGCGGCGAAAGCGAUUCUCUGGCCUAUUACUGACACUCAGUGUGCGAAAGCUAGGGGAGCAAACGGGAUUAGAUACCCCGGUAGUCCUAGCUGUAAACGAUGGGCACUAAGUAGAGGGGUUUU
rnacentral:rRNA from 1 species